UCUGAGGCCACAUUUGAACUCAUGAACUCCUGAAUCCAGGGCCGGUGCUUUAUCCACUGCGCCACCUAGCUGCCCCCCUGCACGCUUCUUUUAAAAUGUGACGUGCACGAGCGCGCCGCAAAAACGGCUUCCGCGGAGAAGGCGGGACUUCCGGGAGGCGAAGGACUCAUGUGGCCUGCGCGCGACCAGUUUGGAUCAGACGUCGCGGCCUCACGGGGGAGAUCUCGAGCUAUUCUGAGGGGACCGGAACCUUAAUCGCGGCUAUGGCCACGGCUACGGCCCCGGCCGUCCCCACGACUUUUGGACAAGCGGUGAUCGGGCCUCCCGGCUCAGGGAAGACCACGUACUGCCUGGGCAUGAGCGCUUUCCUAGCCGGGCUGGGCCGGCGAGUAGCAGUGGUCAACCUAGACCCGGCCAACGAGGGUACGCCGUACGCAUGCGCCGUGGACAUCGGCGAGCUGGUGACGCUCCCCGACGUGAUGGAGGCGCUCAAGCUGGGGCCCAACGGCGGCCUCGUGUACUGCAUGGAGUACCUGGAGGCCAACCUGGACUGGCUGCACGACCGCCUGGCGCCCUUCCGCGACCACUACCUGCUCUUCGACUGCCCGGGUCAGGUGGAGCUGUGUACGCACCACGGCGCCCUGCGCAGCGUCUUCGCGCAGCUGGCCCAGUGGGACUUCCGGCUGACUGCUGCCCACCUAGUGGAUUCUCACUACUGUACAGAUCCGGCCAAAUUCAUCUCUGUGCUGUGUACCUCCUUGUCCACCAUGCUGCAUGUAGAGCUGCCCCAUGUCAACAUCCUCUCCAAGAUGGACCUCAUUGAGCAGUUUGGGAAGCUAGCCUUCAACCUGGACUACUACACCGAAGUCCUGGACCUCUCUUACCUGCUUGACCACCUGGCCUCAGACCCCUUCUUCCGUCAUUACCGGCAGCUCAAUGAGAAGCUGGUGCAGCUGAUCGAAGACUACAGCCUGGUCUCUUUCAUCCCUCUCAAUAUCCAGGACAAAGAGAGUGUCCAGCGGGUGCUACAGGCAGUAGACAAAGCCAAUGGCUACUGCUUUGGGGUGGCCGAGCAGCGGAGUCUGGAGGCCAUGAUGUCCGCCGCAGUGGGAGCUGACUUCCAUUUCACCUCCACGCUGGGGAUCCAGGAGAAGUACCUUCCAUCCCCAGAAGAAGAGGCAGUGCAGCAAGAGGACAUGCACUUGUAGGGGUAAGACCAAGUGGCACCCUGGACCCAGAAAAUGAUGGCUCGUGUCAGGCAGGCAGGCCGGCCCUGGAGCAGGGCCAGAACAAGACAUCUGAGAUCUCAAGCCCAGAGGUGCUGCAGCCCGAGGAAGCCUUGGGAGCCCAAGAAGGGGUGCUCCGAGGUCUCCACUCUUUCCAACUGGCAAUACUGCUUCUUUAGAUAUAUGUGUGUUUAUCCCUGUAAGAUGUCCCCUCCUUCCUCCCAAGCACUUUGGGUAGAUGCUCUUUGGAAGAGAGAGGAUGUGAGCAAGAAUGCACAAAACGAGGUGUGGGCAGGCUAUGAUCUGAAUCACUGAAUGAAUGAUGGAAUGAAUAGGAGAAAGCAUUUAUUAAACGGAUACUUUGAGCCAAGCAUCAUGUGAAGCACUGGGGAUCCAAAUACAAAGUCAAGAUGAUGCCUCUCCUCAAGGAGCUUGGGGGUUUGGUUUGGGAAAACAGAUUCAUUGAAGCAUUGACAUCUACCCCCUUACAGAACUGUAAGCUCUUUGUGAUCCUGACUUGUCUUUGUUGAACCAAAUUGAACUGAACUAAGCAAUUCCCUCCAGAGGCAGACUUCUGAGACCAGAGGCUGUCUUUUAGAGUUAAAAAGACCUGAGUUCAGAUUCUGCCUCAGACACUUGGUAGUUGUGUUUGUGAUUUGGGCAAGGCACUCUCAGAACCUCAGUGUCCUUACCUAUAAAAUAAGAGAAUCAGACUAGAUUAACUCGAAAGUCCUUUGCAAUUUAUGAUCCCCUGAUGAUGACCCUUAGCGGACAGGGACUGUUUCAUUUUUGUCUUUAUAUUCUCAAUGCCUAGCACAGUGCCUGACACACAGUAAGCACUUAACAAAUGAUUGUUGAUUGAUUUAAAUAAAUAAAAUAAAGGGCCCAGUUACUCCUAUGUGCUGAAUAACAAAAAUGAUUCUUCGUAAGCCGAUAUAAGACCUGCAAAGUACUCUUCUCUAUAUGAGGCAGGUAGCUGCAAAGAGACACUCUCACCUCAUCAGACUACAUCUGGAAGUUUGGGUUUUCAUUGUUCUGGGUGCUGCAUUUGAGGAAAAACAUGGAUGGGUUGUAGUGUGUCCAGAUAGAAGCAAAUCUCUGAGGGAAGGUGCUGGCGAGGGGGUCUGGGUAAGGGGAAUCAGAAAAAGCCUUUCCAUUAAAAGGUGUCAUUUGAGCUGUCUUCAAGGGAACCAGUCAGUAGCUGGAGAUGAAAUGGAAGAGCUUCCCAGCCUGGGGAGGACAUCGCAGUGCAAAGGCACAGGAGAGGGAAUGUUGAAUGUAGGGACUAGUGCAAAUGACCAGAUCCUAAAAUCAGUGAAGAUGAGUCAAGUGUAAGAUGUGGAAAGGUCAGGAAGGGAUGAGGCAUCGAAGGACUUUACAUGCCACUGAGCACAUCCAGUUCUGAGAUGAAGAUGUCUUAGCUGCCCCAACGCUCCAUAUCUAACUAAGCACCAGGGACCUACUCCAAUAAAUAGGGUAACCAGGGAUGGGAUGGGGGUUGGAGGAGACACAAGGUAUUGGCCACAAGAGUGGGCAAGGGCUGUAGAAUUUGUCAGCUUCAGUUUCCUGAAGAGGGUUUUCCAGGUUUGAAGAAAGGAAUGAACAUGUUCAAGUGGAGCAGAGUGGGAGCAGAGAAGGCUGUGACCAUGCAGUUUCUCAGGGGUGUGAGCAUUUCUUGCCUGUUUUGCCCUCUGGACUUGGCAUCCACUGAAUGCGAACCUUAUGCCAGAAGAAAUAGAGUGACAUCACCCUGGGCAACAGAAGAAAAGCCCUGGAUCUUCCAGACCCAGAUAUUUCAGAAUCAUACAGGGUUAGAGCUUUAAGGAGACCAUAGAGCUUGCUUGGUCCAAAUUCCUCAUUCUCCAGGAAUAGCAAACUCAGAGAGGUGGUGACUUGCCCAAGGUCAUACAGCUGCUUAGUAGCAGAACCAAAACUUUCUUCUGGCUUCAAGUCUAGGACUUUGCAUUCCACUCUAGCCUUCAUUUGGCUGCACCAAACAACCUCCCUCUGAAAAAGACCAUAGUGAUCCUCUAACCUAGCCUCUGUCCAAGUAAUCAACUAAUUCCCAACUCCUGUCCUUGAGUCUUCUCGAGGGAGAUUGUCCCCAGGGAGUCUCUUCUACAACCCUAGUUUCUCAAUUCUGCCCUUGUCCUCAUUGUUCUCCAACUAUGGAGGGAAAAAUAUACACCCAUUAACCUAAGGGGGAGAAAUAAGUUAACUUGAGGAUGAUACACCCAUCAAGAUUUUUCCAUAAUAUUUUUAAAGCAAAAUAAUUUUUUAUAUUAACCCCUGACAUACCUGUGUGUUCUGUCUUUCCUUUCAUUUUUUUUUGGGGGGGGGGGGAGGGAAUCAGAUAAUAUUUAGUUCUCUGAUUGCAAACACAACAAAGCAUAAAUAAAUAAUGCUUUAGUUACAAUUCAGUAUUUACUUGUACUAAUGCACUUGACCACAGAGAUAAUGUGGCAGAGUGGGGGGAAAACACAUGAAACUAGGAGUUGGCAGACUCCUGAUACUGUGAACUUACUGUGGAACUUUGGGCAAGUUAUUUACCUUCUCUGAGCCUCAGUUUCUACAUCUGCAAAAUGAAGACGGUUGAAUCAGGACUUCUCUGAAGUCCCUUCCAGCUCAAAGUUAGUGUGAUGGGAAGGGAGGAGGCAGCAACCUCUUUGUUCCCAGGAUCUGCCCCACUAACAAAAAGCUGCUGGACAGGUUGGGUGAGAGGAACCAGGUCACCCCCUAGAAAGAGGAGCUGAACAAGAAUCAUUUCCUCCAAGCCUAGUCCAGAGACUCUGCCCAGUUACAAGGGCUUUAAAAUGGAAGAGGUUGUGUGGUAGAGUAGGAAGGAUGCUAGAUUUGGAGUCAGGGGAGCUGGGACUGAUUCCUGGCUUUGAUACUACUUAUCCAGACAAACCACUCGGACUCCCAUGGGAUUCAGUUUCCUCUGCAUUUCUUUCUGAAUCUAUAAUCUAAAUCUAUGAUUCUUUGGUCCUUUGACCUUAGAGCCACCUUUUCUCUUUGGGUAUCAGCUUCUCCUUCUGUAAAAUGAAAGGGUGAUACUAUCAUUAGGGUUCUUAACCUGGGGUCCAUGAACUUUUUUUUAAAGCCUUUG